rnacentral:lncRNA from 1 species
UGGCAUUAUGUGUAUCACUUAACUCCGAUGGCGGAAAUUCGACUGGUAGAAGUAUAUCGUUACACGACCAUUGCAGCAAGAACACGGAACUAGGUCAUAGAUCAAUAUGAAAAAUCGCAUAUCUCCAUAUGCACACAUCUCGAAUCCAUAACAAAACAGCUACAGCUUUGAUACCACUGUUGGGAUAUGAGGUAGGCUACGCUAGUGCAAAAUAAAAAAAAUUUCUACCGUGUAAAACAAAAAAACUGCCGUUAUAGAUCACGGGAUUACCACUCGACGCACAGGUGCGGAAGUUGUAGAUACAUGUCGGGACAGCGAAGUCGAUCACACAUUGACGCAGUGUAGUCGAACACGUCGACUUCGAGCAGCUCCUCAGCAGCUCGUCCACGUGCAGCGACUCCCUCCUCGUGUCGCAGCUCGUCAGGCUCGUUGUCGGCUCGUCAGGUUCCUCGUCGGAGCUCUCGUGCGGCGGCUCGUCCAAGUGCUGCAGAUGCAACACCUCCAAGGUAUCCACACGUGCGGGGAGGAAGCGUCGCAAGCCGGACUGCUAGAUCUGUGAGUUGCAACAAGACGAUGGCGUGGGAGGCGCGGCUGCUCCUGGUGCGAAAAGGGAUUGAACCCUAGGGCGCCCCCCACCCCUCAAUAUAUAGGGGUUCCUAACGGGCCUCUGGUCCGAGGCCUAUUAGUACUUCUAAACUUGGUCCAAUUCAGAUCACAUCCAAAUUGGACUUUCAGCCCUUUAAGUGUGUGACCCUAUAGGUUCAUAUACGUAUAGACAUAGACCGAGUACUCCUACUCGGCCCAUAGUUAGUAGCGACCUCUAGCAAGACAUACUAACUCCUAUACACACACGAAGAUCAUAUCAGACGAACUAUCACAACAUCAUGUACAUGCUAUUCCCUUUGCCUCACGAUAUUUGAUCUAGCUCCAAGCAGACCACUCUUUCUCGACGCUAUGAUUCGGAAUCUCUUUCUAGGUUAACUCUUAACCUCACGUAGCAUGGUCAUGCAUUUCCGAAUCCGAUCACUCGAGGGGCCCAAAGGUAUCUCUCUCAAAUGGAGAGGGGCAAAUUCCAUCUUGACUGACCAUACCUCACAGCAUGCUUCGUGACAAACCCGAAAGCUACCUUUAUAACUACUUAGUUACGGUGCAGCGUUUGAUAGUCUCUAAGUAAGUCGAUCCACAUCUUGAGUACAUGCGACAAUCUCAGGUUUAAGGAUAAAGCGUACAUGUUGUGUAAAGAGAACUAUGUAACUAGCGUUGGGUCAGUCCUAGCACAUGUCUCUACACGUGCCCACGUUAUUAGUUUGACAUCUCCAUGUCCAUGACUUGUGAAACAUAGUCAUCA